rnacentral:rRNA from 1 species
UGCUUAUUAGCUAGCUCACGUAUUAGAUUAACGUCAAAUUAUGCAUACAUGAUUAUGAAACACUAAUUUUAAACCAAAACAUUUUACCCUUAUAGUAUAGGCGAUAGAAAUAAACA